GACGAACGCUGGCGGCGUGCUUAACACAUGCAAGUCGAACGGAAAGGCCCUGCUUUUGUGGGGUGCUCGAGUGGCGAACGGGUGAGUAACACGUGAGUAACCUGCCCUUGACUUUGGGAUAACUUCAGGAAACUGGGGCUAAUACCGGAUAGGAGCUCCUGCUGCAUGGUGGGGGUUGGAAAGUUUCGGCGGUUGGGGAUGGACUCGCGGCUUAUCAGCUUGUUGGUGGGGUAGUGGCUUACCAAGGCUUUGACGGGUAGCCGGCCUGAGAGGGUGACCGGCCAAAUGGGGACUGAGAUACGGCCCAGACUCCUACGGGAGGCAGGAGGGGGGAAUAUUGCACAAUGGGGGGAAGCCUGAUGCAGCAACGCCGGGGGGGGGAUGACGGCCUUCGGGUUGUAAACCUCUUUCGCCUGGGACGAAGGGUGGGUGACGGUAAUGGGUAAAGAAGCACCGGCUAACUACGU
rnacentral:rRNA from 1 species